AUCUCUCCGAAGAUUCCUGUGUAUUUGAAGUGUUCCUAGAGCUCCAAAUUAGAAGAAUUGUACUGUCUGACCAGGCUGUAUGGAGCAUAUUAUGCUCAAAGCUUCACCCCAUUGAAUUCCCAGAAGUCCUACUGACCUUACUGCUACUACUAAAAUGACUCCCAAUUUAAUUGAUUGUAAAUCAAGUAUUUUAUGUCACUAAGAAGCAGUUUUCAAGUUAUUGUGGAAAUAAUUCAACCUCCUGAUAUUUAUUUAAUUACUAAAACACAAUUUCAGAUGAGAAAUUAAUGUAUUUUGUUCUUCUUAUUAUUCUCUUUUGUGGUAUAACUUGUUAAGUAAGGGCCCAUACAGGAGAGAGCAAAAUUAUUUAACAAGCAAAAGCUCCCUCUCGUGGCAGGCUGGCAGGAGGACCCACAACAGCUGCUGAGAGGAAAACCCAGGAUUGCUCACAGCACAUGUGGUCUGAUUCUUCCUCGUCAGCGUAUUGUUGUUCUCUCUCCAGAGAAUUACAAUACAGACACAAGAAAAUUAAUUCCUGUCAUAGAAGGAGACAAGAAUUAUGAGGAACAAAAUGGUAAGGAACUUCACAACCUUAAUGUAACUGAACUCCCAAACUGUCACAGUAUAUAUAUUAGCUAAAGAAAUAGAUUUGGAGAAGUCCUAUGAUUUAAUAUCAGGCCUUUCCCCUUCUAUUAAAGGCUUGCUGCUGAAAGUGAUAUAGCAAUGGGAAAGUUACUUGAGCUAUAUACUUCAGCUCUAUUCAGAAAUAAUCAAUGACUAAUUUAAAAGAACGAAUGCUUUCCACUCUGUCUUGUUGUAGGGGGCUUGAUUUUUCUACUGACUGAACUUCAAAAUUGAUUAUUUCUGAAGUUUGUCUGAAGUUAUCCAAGAUGAACCACAAUAAUUAUUUUUAUGCUAGGAUGACUGCUGCUCUGAUAACUGAGAGAAACGAAGACUUCUAAAUCUAAAAAAGUGAAAUAUUGUUAUUGUUUCCGAAAACCAAUUUAAUUUUGCAUGCGCUCUUUUCUUCUUUAGAAUAAACAACAACAAAAUCAUUAAAUAAUACAGGAAGAGUUUCUAUUGCCUUACCUUUCCCCUUCAACAAAUCGUUAAUGUGAAGUCAUAAAUAAGUAAUUGUUCAAGUGAAAGGGGAUGCAGACCAACUCACAGUUAUUUUUCCCAUGUUUUCCUCAGAGUACAAAGGUAACAGAUAUAUAGCUAUUUAGAUUUUUAAUACUAGAGAGGACCCAUAAGGCAGUUUUACUGUUUCCCUCUGCUAAGUCACAUAUUGUUCCCAAAAGGCUGAGGAUUUUGUUGGUAUUUGAGAGAAAGGCAGAUAUCUCACGGUUUCACAUAUUGUCCACGUUAUUAACUUUGUGAUAGAUAAAGCUAUUCACAUUUUAGCUUAUUAUUCAAAUAUGUUUCAAAAUGGCAAAGCUUAGACAGGCAUUUGGAGAAGUUCCAGACUUUUGCUUCUGUUGAAAUCAACAGUAAAACAGAUUAACUUCAACUGGAGCAAGACUAAAGCAUUAUGAGGUAAUUGUUAGAAUAAAAACAAUGUCACAGAAAUGUGCAGCUUGUUAAACUUAGAAAGUCUUUAUAUGAAAAUAGAGUUGCCCUGUAGUGCACAGUUUUGAAAUAACACUCUUAAAUGGGUCAAGAAAUACUGUUCUGAGUUGUAAUAUUGUUUCAUUCCAGAAAGCUUCAAAUGUGAUGAUUCUCUGAUUUUAUCUAAAUGUGAAAAACUAUCUCAUAUAUAACAGUAUUCCAAAGUAACAAACUCAAGACAUUAAUGUUGUCUAUAAAAAAAAUUAAAAAAGGAAAUAUACAUAUGUUAAUAAAGGUGAGGCAUUACUCUGUUUUGCAGUCUUUGAGUUCAUAGAAAUAACUGCAGUGAAGUAUUUCAUGUAAACUAUUUUAUCUCAGAUAGAAUGUGAGCAUGUGCAAUGAAGAAUAUUUAUAAAGAACUGAUAUCCAACAGCUUCUUAUAGAUUCCUUAUGCAUUUCCUAAAUACUGACUAUAACAUAAUGUAUUUAGCAAUACCAUGAUUAUUGGCUGUAAUAAGGUUCAUUAUAAACAUAAGGUAUAAGCACAGAGGAAAUAGUCACAAGCCAUCAUGAUGUUGGAACUCAGUCACAGCUUUUAGGAAUGUGUUUAUUUUAUCGAAGGACAAGAUUCUGGGAAAAGCUGCCUGGCUUCUUUUUAAGACAGCUGCUGAUACAUUAUUGGUUGACUAAUUAGCAGGCUUUAUGAGUUUUGUUGUUUUUUUUCCCCCUGUUGAAUAAAAAAAGCUAUAAAUAGCUGUCUUCUUCGUUUUCUUCUAAUGUUUUCAUUGUAAGCCCUAGCCUCAAGAUAUUGAACUAGCUGUCUGACUCUUUACUGCCUCUUUUCUUCUAAAGAGAAUACUCUCUUGUAGAUGCACACGUUCAGAGGCAGCUUAUUACCUCCACAAGCCAUAUACAACAAGUUUUUUGUAGAGCAUUCUUAAGUCUAUGUAUUUCUUCAUCCCUCAAUUUCCAUUUUCCCUUGCUUCCCCUGCCUAUGUAAGUACUUCCAUUUUCCAUGUACCUACCUGCCCACCUUUCCUUCAAAAACCCUGUAAUAGCAUCACUCUGACCUGGCAAUAAAAAGUCCUCAGUGCACUAUUCAACUACUUUUGCUCAGAAGCCAGAUGUUAUUUGUCUGUAUUUUAACUGCAUGUGGGAGGAAUUAAACCCUAGUUAAUUGUUUGGGGAUUAUAUAGGGAUGAUUCUCAGAUGUGUUACCUUUUCUGAAUAAACAUUAAAUGAUGUUUGUCUCCAGCUAU
ensembl:lncRNA